AGCAGUCGUUAGGGGCUUUAGCCCCGUGAUAAGUCUUGACUGACUGUCUUGAUUUUGCAUGGUAUGUCGGAAAACGACGUCGAGUGCUGGCUCAGAGUCUAUAAAAGUGGUUUCAAGCCAAGGCCUCGACGUAAUGAUUAAAAGGAACGGUCGAGGGCAUUGGUAUUGCGAGGCGAGAGGUGAAAUUCUAUGACCCCCGCAAGACCGCCUGAAGCGAAAGCGUCUGCCAAGGACGUUUUCAUUAAUCAUGAACGAAAGUUAGAGGAUCGAAGGCGAUCAGAUACCGCCCUAGUUCUGACCCUAAACGAUGCCAACCAUCAAUCCGCGUGAGCACCCUUUUUAACGGGCUCGGCGGGCAGCUCUCUUUUCACGGGAAACCAGAGUCUCUGGGUUCCGGGGGGAGUCUGGUUGCAAAGCUGAAACUUAAAGGAAUUGACGGAAAGGCACCACCAGGAGUGGAGCCUGCGGCUUAAUUUGACUCAACACGGGCCAUCUCACCAGGCCAGAACUCUAGCACGAUUGACAGAUUGAGAGCUCUUUCUCGAUUAAGUGGAUGGUGGUGCAUGGCCGUUCUUAGUUGGUGGAGUGAUCUGUCUGGUUAAUUCCGAUAACGAACGAGACUCUCCCCUGCUAACUAGUCGGUUGGAUCUUGUAUUUCGAUGCGAGUCGUGCGCCGGGUUUACCUUCGCCUCGCGGCAGCGGUGCGAGAGUGUCUGUUUCCCGUCUGGCGCUGGGUGCGCGUGGGUUCGUGGGCGUUUGAGUUGCGAAAGCGGCUCUUGCGUUCGUGGGCUUGCGUGUGCUUUGGCGUUUGGGCGGGCUCUCCCUCUCUGCCGUUCUCGCUGCUUGGUGUGUCUGGUUUUCCCGGGUCGUACACUCCAAGUCCGCCGCUUAUGCUAUAAAAUUCUUCUUAGAGGGAUCAACGGCUCUGAAGCCGUACGAGACUGAGAGCAAUAACAGGUCUGUGAUGCCCUUAGAUGUUCUGGGCCGCACGCGCGCUACAAUGCCGGGCACAGCAGGUGUUUUCCCUACUCCGAGAGGAGCGGGCAACCCUCUGAAAGCCCCUUCUCAUAAAAUGUAUCGGCCGGCGAGCAAUCGUCGGUCGUGUGUAUUGGCGUGCUUGGGCCUGGGGCUUGCAAUUCUUUCCCACAAACGAGGAAUGCCUAGUAGCGGCGG
rnacentral:rRNA from 1 species